rnacentral:rRNA from 1 species
GUCUUCGGACUGCGGCGAGCGGCGAACGGGUGAGUAAUACAUCGGAACAUGCCCAGUCGUGGGGGAUAACACUUCGAAAGAAGUGCUAAUACCGCAUACGUCCUGAGGGAGAAAGCGGGGGAUCGCAAGACCUCGCGCGAUUGGAGUGGCCGAUGUCAGAUUAGCUAGUUGGUGGGGUAAAGGCCUACCAAGGCAACGAUCUGUAGCUGGUCUGAGAGGAUGAUCAGCCACACUGGGACUGAGACACGGCCCAGACUCCUACGGGAGGCAGCAGUGGGGAAUUUUGGACAAUGGGGGCAACCCUGAUCCAGCCAUUCCGCGUGAGUGAAGAAGGCCUUCGGGUUGUAAAGCUCUUUCGGCAGGAACGAAACGGCGAGCUCUAACAUAGCUCGCUAAUGACGGUACCUAAGAAG